CUCUCUGUGGUGCAAGGGGUUAACGAGCUCAGCUGCAAACUGAAAGGUUGGUGGUUCGAGUCCACCUAGGGAAA
rnacentral:tRNA from 1 species